GUGGUGUCCAGUUGUCUUGAAGUUAGCACCAUCUGAUACUCAGUUUCCAAGGAGAAAACCAGCAUGUCUAAUCUGGGAGAAGAAUGAUUAAUUGUAGUAUAUUUACAGGUUGAAAUCUUCAUUGUAAGUAGUGACCGCGGCAGCUUCCCUAUUCAGGAGAAAUGGCAAAAGCAACUGUGCUCCUUUUUUUCUAAGAAAGACAUCUGAAACAAAGCUGAGAAGUGACACAGAUGUACAAACCAAGAGAAACUGGAAAUGAUGGAGCUCUUCAAGAUGCUGGCACAAGAGCAGCUAAUUACAUGGAUUUUGAAGAAAGGAUGAUCUGGAAAAGAGGAAGGCACAUCAGUACAGAAGUACAGCUGCUGAGCAUAAUGGCUUGCAUGGCAGACAGGAUCUCCUCCAGAAAUGCUAAUGGAGAGGUUGUUUCAAGGCAACAAUAUGUGACAGUUUGACGGAUAUUACUGCAGCUGAAGAACUGAUUCAUUUACAAAUGGUUUGUGGUGAGGCUAAGGCUGCCAGUUUGAAAGUGAAUCCAGGGAAGUGCAGUGUGUUCCACAAAGAGUAAUUUAUUGUGAACUCAGAGUCAGCACAGAAGAAGCAUAUUUUGUCAGUGGAGGGAAACAAAAGCUGUGCAGUGCUGGCUAAUUAUUUCCGUGGUGAGAAAGCUCGUUUGCCAGUUUGCUAAUCUUGCAAAAUCAUGGCAGAAUUUAGAUGAAAAGAUGUGAUGCUUUCAGUCACCAGUGGGAAACAAUUUUGGAUUUCUUUUCAGAAUCAAAAGACUCAGGCCUGUUUGUCUUAGCUUGUUGAUUAUUUCCAAACUCUUCUAACUACUGCUUGCAGACAUUUGUGCUUUUGCUUUGGAUGUUGUUGUAAGAACAAUGCAUGAGUGCCUUAAAAGUAUGGAAGCUGUUUACAGCUGAAGCAUGCAUUCUUCAAGGACAAAUGGCUGUACCAGUCACAAACGUGAUUGUACCGAUGCCUAUGGAGGUGAGCUUCCUGCCAAGCUAGCUGCUUUAGCAGCAACAGAGUGGAAAUGGCUGCCCAGGUGCGCUCAGGAGAUGCCCAUUCUUGUCUCUAUAAUUCACAGGAGGACAAAGGUUAUAGAGGAAAAAAUUACCAAAAAGAAACCCAGCAUGUGGUAUGUUGAUAAAAACCCUGAGCAAAUGGAGGCACCUUGCUAAGAAUUCUGAUUCUGUUAUUACCAAAGGCAUUUUCUGGAUGUGUCAACUAAGGUGAAGUCUGAAGAUCAAUGUGACAAGAGGUGGCAGUAGCUAGGCAGCCUGCAGCUGUCUCAAAAUGUCAGGACUGAAAAAGCAGGAUUUCAGUAAAGUGCUGGUAAAAUUCCAGAAAAUUGCUGAAAGAAAAACCAUGUUUGCAUUGCACAGGAAGCUUUCCAUGGGACAUGGGAAUCUCAGGGAAUGGUUUUGUUCCUAAGACAAACAUUCCUGACAGUGGAUUGCUUUCUAAAAGCUUCUAAGUCAUAUAAUUAGGAACCAAGAAAUAGUGGGAUUAACAGAGGGACAGAGAUUCCAGUGAGCUCAUUUGUCAUGUGCAGAGUAUCAUAGAAGAAACCAAUGUUGUCCUCGGAGUCCACAGAACCUGUGUUGCUGAUAGAAACGUGCAAAGAUCAGUUAGACCUGGAAGAGGGAGUUGCACCAGAAAUUGGAAUAGGUUUGUGCUGCUUUGAAUGAUUUUCUUCAGGGCACUUCUGAAAAAACCCCAGGUAUUUUCAGGGAAGCCAGAACCUGUGCAGCUGGAUUGACAGAAGAAUGCAAUGAAUUUGACGAAUGGAGAUAAACAUUUUUUGGUCCUUAUCAAAUAAUUUUAUCAGUACUCUUCAUUUAGAAGAUGAAGUGUUCUUCAUCUUUAGAAUACUUUUGUCUUGGUAGAUUCAAAAGAUAAAUCACAUCUUUGCUGUAGCUGUAGCUGUGAGCAGCAGCACAAGGACUCUGUAUUUCUCUGCCUUCUAACAAGGUGACCUUUUGGGCCAACAUUGAUUUCCCAUCACUUUGCUUACCUUCUCAUACCAUUUCUUUCAAUGCAUAAACAAAUACAGGAUUGAUUUAGGGUAACUCCAGGAAAGUUAAACCUAAACCACAGGACCUACUGGGAAAGGAUAAGCGUUCUUUCCUCAAAAAAACCCAACAGCAUUCCCCCUAACCCAGCAACAGGCUCCCAGCAAAAGCCAUUUGGGACCAGUUCUGUUAAACAAUUACCGCCCUGUGUCAGAGAAGUUAAGAGAUGCCUCAAGGAACCAAAUCAGGUAAUAAGUUUAACUACUUUCAUAGUAAAGAUCACAACUAUUUAAUAAAGACCUCAAAAAGGAUUUUACAAAAAAAGUUUUUCUGUUUUGCUUUUUGUCUAGAAAAAAAAAUGGUACUUUAUACUGUAAUUCAAAGAUGCUUAA